UACAGUACUAUUUAUGUAUAUAUUUUAAAUAAGAGUUCAAAAGUGUUUUUAUCUUUAAGGGGCAAUAUGGGUUACAGCCAGCAAGUACCACAACACAACACAAAACAAAUAUUAAAUACAACAAUAAGAGGAAUAAAUGAUGAAUUAAACCUGCAUAUUCUGCAAGUUUCAGUGGCAAAAUGUUUGCGCUUAAUAGAUUGAGUGUAACAAUUGUAGUGAAUUUAAGGUUUACAGCAGGAACUGGGCUGGAAAUAACAAGAUAAAAAUAAAUACAAAAACUUGCCAAAAUUCAUGCCAUAAUGCAUGAACACAGUCAAAAUGGUCAAAAGAUUAAAAGCAUGUAAAAUGCAUAUUACAGUCCCUAGGGAUUAAAUCUAUGCUAAUGAUAACUGACAAUGUGUUAAAAUCCCCAAGAAUAAUGAUGAGGGAGUCUGGCUGUUUUCUUUCCGUGUCCAUUAUCUGGUCAGCCAGCAGCCUCUGAUCCACAGGCUUGUGGUAGGUUGUAAACUCCGACCAGAAUGAAUGAGGAAAACUCCCGCGGUAAAUAAAAGGGUUUUCAGUUUAUGGAAAGGGACUCCAGAUGAGGACCACAUGACUUUUCUGACACUGUGACAUCAGUACACUCAUCUUCGUUUGUAUAGGAUCAUAUUUCACCUCCUCUCUUUUUCCCUGUGAGCUCUAUGGUGCGGUCCGCUCGGAGCAGCCAGAAGCCUGGUAUCCUAAGUGCGCAGUCCGGUAUGUGUUCACUCAGCCACGUUUCGGUGAAACAGAGGGCAGCGGAACAUGCAAAGUCAGAGUUUUUUGAUUAAGGUCUGUGUCUCCGGUAUAUUCCACAUUGGAGCCGCAGCGCCUCCAACCAAAAACUCAGAGAUAAAGUCAGGCUUUGUGAAAACCGGAGAAAAAACAACUAGAGAGGACUGUCUUAUGUUUCAGAGUUCCUCUCUGGUGAAAGUGACGGGGUUUAGCAGCAAAAGACUAAAGUAAACGCGAGGGAUGCAACAGUACAGUUUUCCCACGGUUUGUUCGCUUAAUAGUGUCUGUCUGUAUGUCUGUCUCUCCGUCAUUGCUCCGCCCAGGGAUAUGGCCGAUGGUAAAGCGGUAUGGCUUCAUGGACAGGCACCAGCGGGUAAUCUGUGUGUUUGAGUCCCGCAUGCAGUACAUUCAUUUCUCAUUGUAGUCUACGCUGAAUCCAAUCGCGGCUGUACAAUGUUUUGAUAAAGUUUUGUGACCGGUUGAGACGUACCCAAAUACCGUUGUGUAUCAACAGGGCGUAUCGAAGAGAGUGAAGCACAGAGGUGCCAAUCCACACUCGAUAAUCAAGAUCUCUUCAUUAUCGCUCCAAUGAAAACACAUUUAAUAUGUGUUGUUGAACAAUCAUGUACAGUUCUUUUUGUUUUAUUAGUAAGUUGUAAUGGUCACUUUCUCUCUUUUGCAUAUAUUAAUUAUAUUAAAGGUGAAUUGUGUAAUUUCUAGUGACAUCUACUGUAGAUGAGAAGCUCGAAAUGGCUCUUCCCUGAAAACUAAGGUGGCUUUCACCGAUCAAACGUCGUCCUUGUCUUCUAUGACUGUGUCAACAGAUGCGUUUCCCAUAUGAAGAUGCGUUUUACUUGUGUAUAUUGUAAUUGUAUGCAUCAUAGACAUGUAUCAUAGAGCAGCUUAUUGUCAUUUUUCCAUAACGUGUCAGCAUUAUAUCAGGCAGGCUAGCUAUUAUCAAAGUAAUAGUACAAAGAAUAGUGAUAAUUGCAUUCUAGGUGUUCAUGAAUGAGCGAGGUGAGUGGUGUGCACUGCCCACGGUAGUAGAGUGAAGCAGCAGACGUGGGAGGCGGAACGAGCCACUGCCUCCACAGAAAAAGAGAGCGGAGAAGAGAAGCUCGUCACACACUGAAGACAAGUUACAGACCUCUGGUGGAGAUGACUCUGGAGGAGCACAGCUGCUGGAGAGAAAACCAGGUCUAGUUUUUGAUGCAUUAGUGCAGGCAUAAUAACGCACCUUCUGCUGGUGUGCCAGGGAUAAACCGGUGUCCUUGUGCCAACUGUAGGGACAUGCCUAUGCACUGGGAAAGGACAUUCUGAGGCCAGGUUGAAACUGUGUAACACACAAUGUCUGCAUUCACAGACAGAACGGGAGGAUCUAACCAUGUUAGGAGAAACCAGGGAGCCCGGAGAUGGCAAAUGAGAAUACUGCUAUGCAGCCAGUAGAUAUUUAAUCUUUUCAUUUCAAUUACAUUGAUACAUUAUUUCAAGACACUUUCCAUAGUAAAGUCAAAGUUUGCCUGCAUGGUUUGUUGGUGCAGGAAACCGACUUGUAAUUACCAGCUGCUGUGUUUAGAGCAUCAGGGAGAAGUUACCUGUUCCUCAAGAAGUGUACACUGGUUUCAUACCUGACCUCUUGGUUUCCUUCUCAGUCUCUGACAUGUGCAGGAUUGAAAUAUCUCAGUCUUCAUAUCAGGUUACUUUUUUUGCAAAGGUUGUUUAUUAAAGUUUUGAUUGUGUUCAUAUUA